rnacentral:rRNA from 1 species
UACGAAGGGGGCUAGCGUUGCUCGGAAUCACUGGGCGUAAAGGGUGCGUAGGCGGGUCUUUUAAGUCAGGGGUGAAAUCCUGGAGCUCAACUCCAGAACUGCCUUUGAUACUGAAGAUCUUGAGUUCGGGAGAGGUGAGUGGAACUGCGAGUGUAGAGGUGAAAUUCGUAGAUAUUCGCAAGAACACCAGUGGCGAAGGCGGCUCACUGGCCCGAUACUGACGCUGGGACGCG